UACACCUUUUACAAGGUUAAAACUUCUUAGCAACACUUGAAGGCUCUCUCUUGGGAUCAGCAGAAUAUUCACUUGUGUUUGGAACUGCUGCUGUAACAUAUUUGUCACUGUCUAUUGCCAAGACAACAGAAUAUACACAUCUGAAGAAAUAAGACAAGGCAUCUGUGCUGCAGACAACCAGCCAAAAUGAUGACGUUUCCAGCCACAGGAGGAGGAUGAUCUGAUGCACUACAUUUAUAAUCAGGAGUUCAGAGUUAAAAUCCUACUUCAGACAAAACUGGACAGCAUGUUCUGGGCAAGUUUUGGACUUUGAUGGAUUUUUCACAUUCUUCUACAAAGGUAUUGGGGAUUUUUGCCAUGUCUCAGCAAGGUGUUUACAUUCUUCAGCUCACAGCAGCAGUCCCCAUGUCCAUCCACCAGAUGAAAACAUAACAUGCGCCCCUGCUCUUACACACAGAAGAGGCAGGGCUUCCAGGGAAGCUGGUAUGUAGUAUAAUUCCUCAUCUAUAUCAUAUUCUACUUAAAAAUAUCUUUGCUGGUGGACACACAAGCAAAUUAGAAUCAAGUUCUGGUUUAGGUUUUCACCCCUAUUGAACGUUUUGGCAGUUCAGGACUUCUACAGCUGCAAAUCAAAACUCCCAAGGAUUUGAGGAUCAAGAUUUGGAUUGAGGCAAGAAACUAGUUUGAGUAUAUGGUUUUCCUGUUGAUAAUUAACGUGGCAACACUGCAUGGAAUACGAAAAAAAUGCCCAUAGAGGAAAGCUGUACCCAGGGCUCAGAAACCAAAACCACGGGUGACUCUCCUUCACAAGGCUAGGCUCAGGUUUCAUCUGACACCUCUAAAUAACAAGCAGAGCUCCAUUUCAUACAGACACAAUUUUGUCAGCUUGGUUGGUUUUCUUGUUUUUCAGCUAGCUAUCCAAGAGCCAUCUGAUUCAUUUGGUAACUUGAAAGUCAGCUCUGCAUUAACCUGUGUUAACUUCAGGGAGGGUGAAGGCAGAGGAAAACAAGGAAAAUACAUGCAGUCACUGGUGGAUCCACCCCUAAGCCAGAGGAUUCUCCUAAACUCACAAGAUUAUAGCAGAGUCUCAAAGGAUAUGCUGAUCCACUGGACAGCUGUUAGUGACUACUGCAGCAGCUUUGCUACACAGACCUCUCUUCCUCCCUCAGGCUGCCUUGGUCUGAAUGUAUCACAGUGCCACGGGUGAAUUAAAAGGAGCGUUCUCUCCAGUUUCUUAUGCAAUGUAUGCCAUUCCAAUAGGAAAGUGGGAAAUCAUUAGUUUAUAUCCUUUACUAUCUAGGGCAGGCAGGUGUAUGAAUUACAUUUUCCAACUUAAUAACUCAAAAUCAGAUUUUCUCUUCAACACUGAAAACUAUAUUGUAAAGUCUCUACUAGUUUACAAAUUUGCAGUCUCUCCUGCUGCAGAGAAAAAGAGUGCAUGUCGUACAUCUUUCAAUGCCAUCUACUGCAACCACACUGAAAAUACUGUGCAUAAAGUUUUCUGCCUUAUAGCAAAAACGUGCUGCUUAUAAUCCUCUUAUUGACUAAAGCAGAUGGAAUCAUUUUCAGUGUCUCUAUCCAAAAAGCAUAAAAGAUUUAAGUCUAAAAGCUGCACAUCCAAACAUAAAUUACAGUCAGUUGAGAAAACGAAGUCAACUCAAAUUGGCUUUAGAAUUUUCUGUGCAGCCUUAAUAGAGUGCCUGACAAGGCCUCAUCAACCAAUUUAUGCAUAGGAUCACACUCAUUUCCAUUAAUCAUAAAUAAAUAUGUUUCAUACAGUGUCCCUGUGUGCACAGAUCUAUACUGAAACAGACUCGGGAUCUUUUGCUCUCAAAGAAUGACAAGAAAUGGCCUAGAAGAAAGACUGACCGCUGCUAUAUGCAUGUGGGUGAGUGCAACAAAUGCCCCUCGGGGUUGCCACCACAGGGGGACAGUGCCCCAGGGCUCUGCACUUGCUAGCAACAGCGGCUGCUUUA